UACGAAGGGGGCGAGCGUUGUUCGGAAUUACUGGGCGUAAAGGGCGCGUAGGCGGCGACUCAAGUUAGAUGUGAAAGUCCUGGGCUUAACCUGGGGACUGCAUUUGAUACUGGGUUGCUUGAGUCCGGGAGAGGUGAGUGGAACUCCGAGUGUAGAGGUGAAAUUCGUAGAUAUUCGGAAGAACACCAGUGGCGAAGGCGGCUCACUGGUCCGGUACUGACGCUGGAGGUGACGAAAGCGUGGGGAGCAAACAGG
rnacentral:rRNA from 1 species